AGCAGUGAAUGUGCUUUGGGGUGGGGUGACUGCGUACCUUUUGUAUAAUGGGUCAGCGACUUAUAUUCUGUAGCAAGGUUAACCGUAUAGGGGAGCCGUAGGGAAACCGAGUCUUAACUGGGCGAAUAAGUUGCAGGGUAUAGACCCGAAACCCGGUGAUCUAGCCAUGGGCAGGUUGAAGGUUGGGUAACACUAACUGGAGGACCGAACCGACUAAUGUUGAAAAAUUAGCGGAUGACUUGUGGCUGGGGGUGAAAGGCCAAUCAAACCGGGAGAUAGCUGGUUCUCCCCGAAAGCUAUUUAGGUAGCGCCUCGUGAACUCAUCUUCGGGGGUAGAGCACUGUUUCGACUAGGGGGUCAUCCCGACUUACCAACUCGAUGCAAACUACGAAUACCGAAGAAUGUUAUCACGGGAGACACACGGCGGGUGCUAACGUUCGUCGUGAAGAGGGAAACAACCCAGACCGCCAGCUAAGGUCCCAAAGUCAUAGUUAAGUGGGAAACGAAGUGGGAAGGCUCAGACAGCCAGGAUGUUGGCUUAGAAGCAGCCAUCAUUUAAAGAAAGCGUAAUAGCUCACUGGUCGAGUCGGCCUGCGCGGAAGAUGUAACGGGGCUAAACUAUGCACCGAAGCUGCGGCAGCGAUAUGUAAAUAUUGUUGGGUAGGGGAGCGUUCUGUAAGCCUGUGAAGGUGUGCUGUGAGGCAUGCUGGAGGUAUCAGAAGUGCGAAUGCUGACAUAAGUAACGAUAAUGCGGGUGAAAAACCCGCACGCCGGAAGACCAAGGGUUCCUGUCCAACGUUAAUCGGGGCAGGGUGAGUCGACCCCUAAGGCGAGGCAGAAAUGCGUAGUCGAUGGGAAACGGGUUAAUAUUCCCGUACUGGUGAUAAUUGCGAUGGGGGGACGGAGAAGGCUAGGCUAUCCGGGCGACGGUUGUCCCGGUUUAAGGAUGUAGGCAGGUGAAUUAGGCAAAUCCGGUUCACUACAUGCUGAGGUCCGAUGACGAGUCACUACGGUGAUGAAGUAGCUCAUGCCCCGCUUCCAGGAAAAGCCUCUAAGCUCUAGAUUAUCAUUAAUCGUACCCCAAACCGACACAGGUGGUCAGGUAGAGAAUACUCAGGCGCUUGA
rnacentral:rRNA from 1 species